CCCUGUGUCCCCAUGGGAUACUUUAAUUGAUGCGGGCUCUCCUUUUUGGACCUUGGAUGUGUGGUCCUUGAUCAACUAAUCUCCUACUAUUAAAACAAAUAAAGAAACCCAUUUAGAGAAAAUGUUGUCGGAACUCGGAAGAGAUCGUUCUCACCAUACCGAGUUACCAUCAAUAAUCUUAAGAUAAAGAAUUGAUUUUAUGACUGAGGCGCAAAGAAUUGAAAAAUCUAUGGCCGGAGUCCAUUUCUUUCUUU